rnacentral:rRNA from 1 species
UACAGAGGGUGCGAGCGUUAAUCGGAAUUACUGGGCGUAAAGCGCACGUAGGUGGCGACGUAAGUCGGGUGUGAAAGCCCCGGGCUCAACCUGGGAAUUGCAUUCGAGACUGCAUUGCUGGAGUACGGCAGAGGAGGGCGGAAUUCCCGGUGUAGCGGUGAAAUGCGUAGAUAUCGGGAGGAACAUCAGUGGCGAAGGCGGCCCUCUGGUCCAGUACUGACACUCAAGUGCGAAAGCGUGGGGAGCAAACAGG